rnacentral:lncRNA from 1 species
UUAAAUCAUCCAAACUAACAUAUUAUUACUUUGCAAUCAAGAAUCAACGUAUAUCUAAAGAACAAAACAAUAUUGAAAUCAAGCAUGAAAUUGCAUGAAUAUUGAACAACCAAAAGUUUAACAAUGUUUAAUCAAGUCUCCCAAUCCAUAAAACAACUAAAGUAUCACCUAAUCUUCAACUAGAAUAAAAGAUUUCAGCCUCUCAUGGCUGAAACAAAACCAAAAAUAAAAGAAAAGAAGAAAGGUAGAAGAAGAUAUGUGAAUCCCGUAGGUGCCUCCAAAGUGGUGUGUAAAAGUUGUGUGGAGGCUCCUUAUGUGUCUUUUUAUAGUUGAAAGUGCUGCCUUAGGUCAUACUUGCUGCCCAAGUAGUUGAGAGGCUGCCCAAGGUGCUAAAAAGGAAAGAAUCGCGUUCCAAAAUUAUUCAGAAGGAAAGAGGCGUGUGCUUGCUCUUCAAAGGGAAAGUGGCGCGCGGUCAUUGAAUGCAGAAGGGAAAGUGAAUCUGUCCAGUCUUUUCCUUUUUAGGUGGAGCCUUCGUUUGAAUUUUGAAUGCUGAAUGUGGAAGAGGCAAGUGCAUCUCUUUGAAAUCUUGCUGUCUAAAUAGGAAGAUUUGAUCGCUGCAGUGUGUGCACAUUUUUUAACAAGGAAAGAAAGAUCUGCGAUUUGAAUUUCAAAUAAUCUUCUGACUGAGCUUUCCUUAUUUGCUUUUGUUUCUGCACUUUCCUUUUCUGAAAACUUUCCUUAUUUGAAAACUUUCCUUUUUUGGCACUUUCCAUAUUUGAUACUUUUUGGCAGUUUUAAGAGCAUUUUCUCCAGAAUGUCUCUUUACACCUAAUAUCUGCAAAACAUGAUUAAAACCACAAAAUUAAGCAGAAAAGAUAUAAAUAAACAUCAAGAACAUAAUGAUAAUAUGGACUAAAAUAUGCUCUAUCACAUGAGCAUGCUUAAAACAUUUGAUUUCCUUAAAAUGACAGUUUAGUUUAGUUCUACUCACGUUUGGCUGACGCAAGCCUAGCUCUGAAGCAGCUGUCUCACUACUGACCUCUACGGUCUCCUAAAUCCGAUCCUAUAUAGAUGGACUUACUUUUACAAUAUUUAAAACUACCCCAAGAAACCUUUAUAAACAUAUAAAAAAACGUGUAGGAAAACGAGUUGAAAACAGCUAGGUAGGGGAUUUUCGACGGCAUGUUCGGCAGCUUAAAGUCCCCUUACAAAUUCGAAAGUCAAAUCUUUGGAGGCAAGUUAGGUGGCCAAAAGGCAAUCUUCACAAACAUGUUUGACGACCGAACUUGGGUUCUUGUACAAUGCAGAACCGGAUUCAACCUCAGCUAACAGCCCUCAACCGCUUCCAACUUACAUGCAAUAGCUCACAAAUAACCAUACACACUCAACACGCAUAAGGGACACUUAAGCUAACCUAAUCUUCAUCAUGCAUUAACAACACGAGAAAAAUCAUCCAUUAUCAAAAACUAGAAACUUAAACUCCAAAACAUAUAAAGGAUCUUGCAUGCAUCAUUAAACCAUAGAAAUAGCUUAUGCCUCUUUUAAAAACUUCAAUAACAAAAGAGAGGCAAGGAUUAAACUUAUCUCUUGGAGAAAACACCAACACAGCAACAAUGAGAAAUUCGGAGGAGAAGAACAAAUGAGCUCUAAAGAUCCCAGAAGCUAAAACUUGAAAUUCAAACUCGAUUCUUCAAAAAAAAAAAAAAGUAAAAAGUCAUGAAAAAACUGUGAAAAAUAAGAAUUUGUGAAGAAAAAGGGCAGGAGACUUACCUAUGCUCGAAAUAGAGAAAAAAAUUCUCUCCUUUUCAGGUAGAGCCCCUUUUAUAGGUGGCUGAAAAAGCCACAUUCGGUGGCCGAACCUUAAAACUUUUCUAAAAGUCUUUUUUUUUCUAAAACUCAUCAUAAAAAUGCUUUAAAUUCAUUUUAUAAAAAAAAAAAAAAACUCAUUUUACCCUUUUAAAAUUUUUGGUUUUAAGAUUUUGGAUUCUAAUGAAGAUUCCAUCAAAAAGUUAGAAUUCUGAUACCGAAGUUUAGCCAGGUAUUACAUUAUCCUUGAAGAUGAAGUAGGUGAGUAGCUAAUUCAAAAAAUAUAUUACAGAUGGAAUUUAUUGAAAUGCAGGGUGUUUAACGCUAUUGGGCAUAGAGUAGGUUAGUACAGGAAUGAAGUCAAGAAACAAAUAUGGCAAUAAAGAAAUAGGGGACAUAAGAGUGAAGAGAAAGGAGUGAGGGGAAAGUCUGAUAAUGAUAGGAAUUUGGAGUAAGAGGAACUCGAAGAGAGAAAUGUUGAUAAUGAUCAUAGAGGUUGGGCUGAAAGUAUGCUGACUGCUGAAGCUUCUAGAAAAAAAGAGUGGAUAGCUGCCACAAAAAAAAGAUAAGAAUUUGGGGUUUCUCCUAGGAUAGUAGUUGAUCUUUCAAUAGUACAAAAUAACAGAUAAGCCUCGCCCUUCAAGAAUUAUAGGGGAUGGAAUUAUUAGGGGUAGUAGAGAGGAGAAAGGAAUGGGAGUAACCCUAAAAUGGGUGGAUGAUUAGUUCUUGAAACAUUAAGAGCCUUAAUGACUCAGGAAGUGAUUGGAGGUGCAUUCUCUAGUUGCUAAAAAUAAGUUAUUUGCUCUUGGACUUUUGGAAACUAGAUUUAGGCUGGGGAAUAAGGAUAAAGUGAUGAGGGGGUUAGAUUUUCAUGGAUGAGAACUUAUAAGCAUCUAUCAAGCUAUUGAUAAUGGGAGGAUAUGGGUUGUAUUUGACCUUCAGCUGGUUAAGAUAAAUGCAGAAAGUGAUGAAUCAAAUUAUGUGUAGUGUGGUGGAGUACAAGGGAAGAAAUGUAGUGGUCUAUUGUGUAUAGAAGUAAUGAGGCUCAAAGCAGGAGGAGACUCUGGGAGAUGGUUAAGCAGAUUGUCAUAAGUAUGGAUGGGCUGUUGAUCUUGCAAGGUCAUUUUGAUGCAAUUAUCUAUGAUUGUGAGAGGAUAGGUGGGAAUGGGUUUAAUAAUUCAAGUAAUGACUUUGAAAAAUGUAUUGUAAAUGCUAGUUUGAUAGAGUUAAGGACUAGGGGAUGGUUUUACAUAUGGACUAAUAAUUAGGAGGGUCAAACUAGAAUUUGGAGGAAGCUGGAUAGAUAUUUAGUUAAUUUGUCAUGGCUAGAUGUCUUUGAGUUUGUUGAAUGUAAAGUGAAGGUAGUUGAGAUAUCAUAUUACUCUCCUCUUAUCAUUAAAUUGGGAAUGGAUAGGGAGGUUAGGAAUGUGCCAUUUAGAUUUAAUAAUAAGUGGACAUCUCACCAAACUACAAGCAUAUCGUAGAGGGCGUUUGGAAUAGAAAUGUUAGGGAGAUUGAUAUGAUAAGGUGUAAAUAAAAUUAAGGGAGUUAAGAGGGGAAUUAAAGUAGUUAAAUAGAAAGGAAUUUUAAAAAAUUUCAAGCAGAGUGAAGAUUUCAGAAUAUUGCUUGAAUAACUGCAGGAAGGAUUACAAAGGGAAUCACAUAAUAAUGAAUUGUUAGAAGAAAAGAGCAAUGGUUUAACAUUUUAAAAGUUUGCUAAAGCAAAAAAGGGAAGUUCUAAAGGCAAAAGGCUAGGCUGGACUAGGUACAGUUAGGGGAUGCAAACACUAAAUUUUUUCACAGCCAUAAAAAGGUUAGAACAAUGAGGAAUAGAAUCACAAGUUUAAACCUACAAUAAGGAAAAUAAUCACAAGUUUAAACUUACCUGGUGGUGAGGUGAUUUUGAAUCAAGCGGAAAUAAAGAGAGCAAUGAUAAAACUUGGGGCUACCACUUUGAAUCAUUUACAUGUGGAUAUGGAUAUUAUUAAACGUGGGUAAAGCUAACUCUAUCAAUUACAUCACCCUUUUGUUUGAAUAAGCUAUUAAGGUGACUGUAGAAAGAUUUUGUACAUCACUCUAGCAUUUGGUUGGGUCAGACUGAUAUAGCAUGCUGAAAAUGUCAUUCUUACAAGCACUUUAUAUAUUUAUGAACAGUACAGUAAAAGGGCAUUUUAGAUUAAACAAUGUUACUUUUUAACGGUCUUCUCGAUUAGAAUUAAUUAAUCAUCAACUAAAACAAACACAAAAUAAUUAUUGUAUGACUGAUAACAAACCAGGAAUUAUACCUAAUUAGCAUAUUUUGCUGCUUGCAUUACAACUGUAGGCUUCUGUUGCAGAAUAUUUGCAAGCAGCAGCAGCCUGCAGCAGCUACUUGCAAAUGCAGCAGCAGCCUGCAGUUGCUGCUUGCAAAUGCAGCAGCAGCCUGCUGCUCAAAUGCAGCUGCAGUUGUUGAUUCAGGGAAAUGCAGCAGCAGCCUGCUACUGCUGCAGGGAAAAAUAUUGCAUUAUUACUAUAAUUUGCGGUUUCACAAUAUGAAGUUGUGUUUAAAUUGUUAGACAUUUUUUUGCAAUAAGUUUAACUAAUUACUACUGUAUGUUCAUCCAUUAUAUUAAUAUUGUCUAUUUCCCCAUUAUACUAAUGUUGUCUGCUCCUAUAUUAUACUAAUGUUGUUUGUUCCUCCAUUAUACUAAUGCCUCUACCUAAUUACAAUGAUUAAAAGCCUUUGGUUUCCACAGAAAUUAAAAAAGAACCCACAUCAGAGACUAAAAUUACAAUGCUUCAUUUUAUCAUGCCAAAUGUCUUCUAUGCACAUAUUGCAGUAUAUUUAAGAGUUGUUAAAUGGAAAUAUAAAUUGUAAAAAGUCUUUUAUUCACUCUAAAUUUGAAUUUUCAAGCUCAAUUUUAGACUUUUGUUUUGUAUUGCAUCUGGCCAGUACAUAUAACUGAAGUGUUAGUCAUAUUUAAAACUAUUGUAUAUUGACUUUACACUUGGUGGCUAAGAGUUCUUUCUUGCAUGAGCAAGGAUUAAUUUAACCAUGAUUCCAAAUCAGCUUUAUGAUGUAUUUUCUAAAUUCAGGCAUGCCAUAAUAUAUUAGAGAAAAUUUUGAUUUUAAUAAUCUGAUUUAUUAUUUCAGAGUUUCAUUUUCAUAAAAUAUAUUCGCAAACAAGAAGCAUAAUGAAUAAAAUUAGAAGAAGAAACAAACAAACUAAAUUAAGAGCAACCAAAAGAUGGAUACACAAAUAGAAAGAGAAAAAUUAGAUGAGAGAAAGAGAGAAGGACCUCGUUUGCCCAUUGGUGGUAUAACGGGUUGCAAUAGGCGAAGAGGGGAUUCUGCAGCGUGAUUGGGCUGAUCCACAUUCGGUUGGCAAAGAGACUGGUGGUGGCGUGACUGGGUGCCUCACGGUGGAGAUGGGUGCAGAAAGGGGUAGUGGCGGCGUGACCGAGUGCCUCACGUGGAGAUGGUGCAGAAAGGAGAAAAUUCAUGAAGGAGAAGCUGAUAAUAGUUACAAAACGC